rnacentral:rRNA from 1 species
GACGAACGCUGGCGGCGUGCUUAACACAUGCAAGUCGAACGGGCCUUGUCCCCUUUUUUUUGGGGGUGGGGUUAGUGGCGAACGGGUGAGUAACACGUGAGUAACCUGCCCCUCACUUCUGGAUAACCGCUUGAAAGGGUGGCUAAUACGGGUUUUUUGGCCUUCCUCCCUUGGUGGGUUUUGGAAAGUUUGACCGGUUUUUGUUUUUUUUGGUGGGGGUUGGGCUCGCGGCCUAUCAGCUUGUUGGUGGGGUGAUGGCCUGCCAAGGCUUUGACGGGUAGCCGGCCUGAGAGGGUGGGCGGUCACACUGGGACUGAGACACGGCCCAGACUCCUACGGGAGGCAGCAGUGGGGAAUAUUGCACAAUGGGCGCAAGCCUGAUGCAGCGACGCCGCGUGAGGGAUGGAGGCCUUCGGGUUGUGAACCUCUUUCGCCAGUGAAGAAGGUCCUGCUCUUUGUGGUGGGGUUGACGGUAGCUGGGUUAAUGAAGCGCCGGCUAACUACGUG